UGGUGAUGUGUGGUUGUCUGGUCAUGUUUAACAGUGGGAUUUAUAAUGCCGAUUGGAAGCUGUGAGCAUAUGGGUGGAGCUUCUGAACUUUUCUGCAGUGUGAGCUGGUGCAUCAAUUAAUUGGGAACCCAUAGAUCCAGAUGCAGAGGUGUGCCUUCAUGUACUGAGGCUUGUCCAGUCUGUGGUUCUGGAACCUGAAGUCUUCUCCAAGUCGGCCUCUGAGUUCCGGAGCUCCCUGCCCCUGCAACGCAUCCUGGCAAUGUCCAAGAGCCGCAACCCCCGCCUGCAAACCGCAGCCCAGGAGCUCCUGGAAGAUCUCCGCACUCUGGAGCAUAAUGUGUAGGUGUGCUCGGCCACCAGGGUUUUGGUGAAAAUGCCGGUGUCCCUUCUCCCCAGAUCCCUCAUUUGAUACUCCAAAACCAUCACCAUGUACCAUGUGUUAGAGUUGGCAAAAUGUGAUUGACUAGAGAUGGACAUGAAUUGAUAUGUAUCCCACAUAACUUUGUCUUGGAAGUGAGAGUGCUUGUAGGUGGUUGGUUAAGCUUGCCAAAGGAGAGGCCAUGAAAGAACCUGUCCUUCUGGAAAAGUGGUCCAUGUCUGUGCUGGCUGGAAGAGGGCUUGCUUAGGGCAGCUUCUUGCUGCUCAGCAGACCAUGACCUGUAGGUUCACCUAUAAAACAGGGAAAUUGAAUAACCAUCUACCCCAUUAGUCAGCAUUUUCUUGAGAUACAUUUCUUUGAAAAGCAAUUCAUUCUCUCUCUAGUAAUUGUAAUUAAUCCCCCCAAAAUGCAAGUUUACUUUUAUAACCUUUUGGUGAACCUGCUAUUUCGGAUGACAUUGGGCAUUUUAGUUCUAUAUUUUUUGUGCCUCUUUUAUUUUUGAAUAAAGAAAAUCAGAAGAGUUGUAUUACGA
rnacentral:lncRNA from 1 species